rnacentral:lncRNA from 1 species
CUUUUAGGACUCACAUCCUUGGAUCCCAGACUCUUUGAUGACAGGAAGGCCAAACUAUCUCAAAUAUGAUUUUGGUUCUAACAACCAACCCUCAUGGCCUAUUCUUGGAGAACUUCCAUCAGGGUACUUGAGCCAACUUGUACUCACAAAUGCCCAAGAAGUGCCUGGAUGACUGUGAUGGUUAAUUUUCUGUGUGCCGAAGGCAAAGGGAAUACAGAUUUUGUAGUGGAAGAAAGGUCUCUGCCUUGAUAGUCUGCAGUGCAUCCCAUGAACUCAGUAUGGAGAAGUUGCCUUGUCCCCAUCAAUCCAAUGGAGUCCAUUCAUGUCUCCAAACCUUGGCUUAAUGAUUGUAUCCCUGCUGUCUGUUAUAGGAACAUUUUUCCCUGACCACCCUAUCUGUCACCUCUUGUUAGACCUCCCUUUCACUAACCACAGCCUGAACUCUUACCUGCUGCCAUACUCUCAGAAAAUCAUACCAAGCCUAUUAGCUCAAUUUCCUCUAGCUUCCAUUACCAAAACCAGGGUUUUCAAAUACAUGGUCUCUUCUGGGAAAUAAAUCCCUUUGCCAACCUGGAAAUGCCCAAGAU